UCGUAGUUGGAUUCCUGGCUCGGGGUAGCCGGUCCGCCUUGCAAAAGGUGCGCACUGUGCGGCCUCGGCCAUCCUUUAGGAAAGCGGCCCUGGCAUUUAGUUGUCGGGGUCGGGCUUCUAAACGUUUACUGUGAAAAAAUCAGAGUGUUCAACGCAGGCUUACGCCUUGAAUACAUUAGCAUGGAAUAAUGAGAUAGGACUUUGGCGGUCUAUUUUGUUGGUUUGCACGCCGAAGUAAUGAUUAACAGGGACGGUUGGGGUUCUUUGUAUUCAAUUGUCAGAGGUGAAAUUCUUGGAUUUAUGGAAGACAAACUGCUGCGAAAGCGUCGAACAAGGACGUUCUCAUUAAUCAAGAACGAAAGUUAGGGGAUCGAAGAUGAUUAGAUACCAUCGUAGUCUUAACCAUAAACUAUGCCGAUUCAGGAUUGGCGGUCGUUUGUUCUCGACUCCGUCAGCACUGUAUGAGAAAUCAAAAUCUUUGGGUUCCGGGGGGAGUAUGGUCGCAAGGCUGAAACUUAAAGAAAUUGACGGAAGGGCACCACCAGGAAUGGAGCCUGCGGCUUAAUUUGACUUCAACACGGGAAAACUUACCAGGUCCAGAACUAAAUAAGGAUUGACAGAUUGAAACUCUUUCUGAUUUUAUGGGUGGGUG
rnacentral:rRNA from 1 species